rnacentral:pre_miRNA from 1 species
GUAAUACUCCCUCCGUCCCAAAAUUCUUGUCUUAGAUUUGUCUAGAUACGGAUGUAUCUAAUACUAAAACGUGACUUGAUACAUCCGUAUUUAGACAAAUGUAAGACAAGAAUUUUGGGGCGGAGGGAGUAUGUG